AUACUUACCUGGCAGGGGAGAUGUCAUGAUCAAGUAGGUGGUUUUCCCAUUGCACUUAGGAUAUGCUGACCCCUGUGAUUUCCCCAAAUUUGGGAAACUCAGCUGCAUACUUUGGGGGGGGGCUGUGUCUGUGUUCUCCCCUG
ensembl:snRNA U1 U1 spliceosomal RNA